rnacentral:rRNA from 1 species
CCUACGGGUGGCAGCAGUGAGGAAUAUUGGUCAAUGGCCGGAAGGCUGAACCAGCCAUGCCGCGUGAAGGUCAGUGCCCUAUGGGCGUUAAACUUCUUUUGUGCGGGAGCAAUAAUGGUCACGUGUGGCCAGACGAGAGUACCGUACGAAUAAGCAUCGGCUCACUCCGUGCCAGCAGCCGCGGUAAUACGGGGGAUGCAAGCGUUAUCCGGAUUUAUUGGGUUUAAAGGGUGCGUAUGCAGUGAGGUAAGUCAGCGGUGAAAUGCCCCCGCUCAACGGGGUGAAGUGCCAUUGAUACUGGCGUGCUGGAGUGCGGAGGACGUAGGAGGAAUGUGUGGUGUAGCGGUGAAAUGCAUAGAUAUCACACAGAACACCGAUUGCGAAGGCAUCUCACGAAUCCUCGAUUGACGCUGAUGCACGAAAGCGUGGGUAUCAAACAGGAUUAGAUACCCCAGUAGUC